GCGAACAUAGAGGAAUCGGUAAAUUCGCUAGUUUUCCAAGCUAGAUGUUAUGGGUUCGAAUCCCAUUGUUCGCU
rnacentral:tRNA from 1 species